CGCAAAGUACGAGUGUACAAGUUAGUGUUAGGGCGUGUUGUUACUCUGAGCUGGUACCCCGUUACCCUUUUGGGGUCGCUAGGGCUGACAGCCCCCUAGCUUACACUGAUUUUGUACACCGUCAAAACGCGAAUACAUAGGGUCAAAAAUAAUUUAAAUCUGGCGUAUAUACCCUCUUGAGGGAGUAUACGCAGAUAUUUGUCCUGAAAUAUUAAAAUUUUUUAAUUACAUACUGAAUUAAAUUGUUUUUCAGUUGUAUUGUUAGUGAAUGAGGUAAUGGUGGGAAUAUGCCUUGCAUGAAAUUUACCUAGUGGUGAGGUAUGAAGAUUGGAAACUAACGUUGUGAUGGGACCAGUGGUGGACCGAUGAUUUACGUGAGACCUGUGGCAGCCGAGCAGAAGGUGGUGGCAGAUGUUUUGGUUUAGCAAGAUGUGCUACUGAUAGCUGGAUCAUAUGUGGUAAUACCGGAUAGAUUUGCGGAACUUCAGUGUUCGUGAAGACUUUGCAGCUGUGACUCGUAGGUCUUGCUGCGAGCAGCCGCGUCCAACAGGCUGGUUGAUGAGUCCGGCAACCAGGAUGCCUGGUCGACGACCGGGCUGGGGGGGACGCCAAGGCCUUGAAGCACCUCAAGGUAACCUCAAGGAUGUGAGCGUGUUGAGAGAUUGGGGGAUGUGCUGAAUUGAGCGAUGACGUGUCUAUUUGUUGGUAAACGUGCGUGGGGUGGCGACGAGGAGCAACGCGACCGUCCAGAGUAAUGGAAGAGGCCGUGACAUUGAGGCGGAUUGAAGGUGAUGGUAAUAAUCAUGGUUGAUUGGUAGAGGGAAUGAGAGGCAGCGGAGUUUGACGUACAACGGAACCACAGGCGGCGGUGCCAGAAUAUUGUUGAAGACAAGGAUCCCGCGACCCACACCGUGACUAACUGAAAGGACUUUGCAAAUAUAAAGAUACGACCCCCUCCCCCGCUCAGCUCGUUGUUGCUGUGUGGGUGUUUAGUGGGCGGCUGGUGGAGUGUGAUGCUCCUUGGGACAGUCCUCUGUCCUUUUCUAGCCUUGUGCUCCUAGUGCCGUCCUCUCCAAUUCUGCUGGGCACGUUUGCCUGUUUCGU